UGUCGUCUUCUUUGCAUUGUGUUGUCAUGCUUCAGUGAUGUGUGAGUGUUUAUAGUGCUGUGAGUUUAACACUUCAUGACUGAGAUCAGAACAGAACAGAAUCUUCAUCAUCACACAAACCAAAAGAACAACAAUGACUUUCAUCAUCAUCUUCAUCUGGACACUCACAGUCUUUACUCAAGUGUGUAGAGGACAGUACACUCUUACUCAGAGUCCAUUAAUAACAGUUCAACCAGGACAACAAGUUCAAAUAAACUGUAAAGUCAGCAGUGCAGUGUAUAAUGAUAUUUACUUAGCCUGGUACUUACAGAAACCUGGAGAAGCUCCUAAACUCCUCAUAUAUGCUGCAACAAGCCUCCAGUCAGGAACUCCAUCAAGAUUCAGUGGCAGCGGAUCAAACACAGAUUUUACUUUGACCAUCAGUGGAGUUCAGACUGAAGAUUCAGGAGAUUAUUACUGUCAGAGUUUUCACUAUCCAAGUAGCACUUAUGUGUUGACACAGUGAUAAAGAGUGAUACAAAAACCUCUGACAGUCAGACUGCACAGUGACUGAACUCAUACACCUGACAGAUACUGCAGAUGAUCAUACUGAUAGUUUAUUUCACUUACAGCUGAUUUAUUUUGUACUAUAAUUUAUUUAAAAGACAACUUUAUAGACAAUUAUACAUGUAAUUGAUUAUGUAUUUAUUUAUGUUUUAUAGUUUUCAAUCGUAUUAUUAAUUUAUUGUCUGUAUAUUAUUUGCUGUGUUAAAACAGAUUUAUAUGGAUUAUUUUAUUAUUAUUGUAUUACAGCUUAAUUCAUUAUAUUUUAAAAACUGAUAAUACACAUAAAGAGAAACAUCAGUCAGUAUCAUUUAGUCAACAGCUGCACUGUAACAUCU